rnacentral:rRNA from 1 species
GACAGAGGUGCCGAGCGUAGGCGGAAUCACUGGGCUUAAAGCGUGUGUAGGCGGACCGUUAAGUACCUUGUGAAAUCCUGCGGCUCAACCGCAGAACGGCUGGGUAUACUGGCGGUCUUGGGCCACCUAGGGGCAGAUGGAACAGACGGUGGAGCGGUGAAAUGCGGUAGAUAUCGUCUGGAACGCCGAUGGUGAAAACAGUCUGCUGGGGGUGUGCCGACGCUGAGACACGAAAGCCAGGGGAGCAAACGGG